GAUGAACGCUGGCGGUAUGCUUAACACAUGCAAGUCGUACGGGUUAUAAUUUAUAAUCUAGUGGCGGACGGGUGCGUAACACGUAAGAACCUACCUUUUGGAGGGGGAUAACAUUGGGAAACUGAUGCUAAUACCCCGUAAAUAGCUGAGGAGUGAAAAGCGAGUAUCUCGAGAGAGAGCUACGCGCCAGAAGAGGGGCUUGCGGCUGAUUAGCUAGUUGGUGGGGGUAAAAGCCUCGCAAGGCCACGAUCAGGAGCUGGUCUGAGGGGAUGAUCAGCCACACUGAGACGGAGACACGGCCCAGACUCCUACGGGAGGCAGCAGUGGGGAAUUUUCCACAAUGGGCGAAAGCCUGAUGGAGCAAUACCGCGUGGAGGAUGAAGGAUCGUGGUCCGUAAACUUCUUUUCUUAACGAAGAAAUUCUGACGGUAGUUAAGGAAUAAGCACCGGCUAACUCCGUGCCAGCCGCCGCGGUAAUAC
rnacentral:rRNA from 1 species